UUCCCAGCAGUCUUCCAACUUUUGGGAAUGGUGUUUCUUCCGGAGUCCCCAAGGUGGCUCGCUCACAAGGGGAGGAUCGAGGAGGCCAGGGAGGCGCUCAACGUCCUCAGCGCGAGCCACGAGGACGUUGCCGUUGUCGUGAGAGAAACUCAAGCGGACGCUCCAGUGAACGCGUCCGGCUUCCAGCCGAAGGUGUUCAGGUACCAGCUGUACGUGGGCGUGACCCUCCAAGUGCUUCAGCAGCUGUGUGGGAUCAAUACCAUUAUGUAUUACCUUCCCGUUAUCUUGUCCUUGGCUGGGUUCAGGGGAAGGGGGGCCCUGCUCGCUGCCUUGCUGCCUUCUGGAGUGAACUCGGUCAUGACUUUCGUCGGGAUGUGGGCGAUUGAGCGGGUGGGAAGGAGAAAGCUCCUCCUCUCCAGUCUGUUUUGUGUGAGCAUUGCGUUGGGCCUCAUCGGCACGCUUUUCAGUGCCUCCUCCCGCCACACCCCCCCCGUCUACAGCGGAGCAAGCAGUAAGGCCUAUAACACAUGCCCCGCGUCAGCUACAGAGCACAUUCUGGACUGCAACAGCUGCAUCGGACACCAGCAGUGCUUGUUUUGUGGCCUGGAAAGUUACGGGGGAGAUUCUCUCCACGUUGUCGGGAGGUGCCUGAAGACCGGGUUAGAAUCCAUCAGGAAUUGCACCUCGCUUCCUGAUCCCUUUGGGGAGCGGGGUCCACAGUUCACCUACGAGUUCGGUUGCCCUUCGCCUUACACUGGCUGGAUAGUGGGGUCCCUGGUCCUCUACCUGCUGGCCUUCGCGCCCGGCCUCAGUCCCGUGCCGUGGGCCGUGAAUGCAGAAAUCUAUCCCAUUGAGCGUCGGGGGCUCGGAAGUGGCUGCUCCGCAGUCGCGAACUGGCUCUCCAACUCUCUCAUAACAGCGUUGUUUCUUCCGCUCCAGCGCGUGUUGAUGGCUGGCGGAGUGUUUUACCUCUGUGGAGCAGUGUCGCUGCUGGGGAUGGCUUGGACCUCCCUAGUCUUGCCUGAGACGAAGGGCUUGAGCUUUGAGGAGAUUCAAUCCCGUUUUAGCAAAAAGUUGAAACUGAAAAAGUGAAGCCAAGACCGCGGCGCGCGUUUGUGUAUCCAUACUUUUUUGUAACUCCUAUAUAUUUUCGUGUGCAUUAUUACAGUAGGAUAAAAAAUCUCUCCUCUUCCCCAAUCACCAUCUGCGGACGAUGUGUCGCGCUAUGGUAUGACCGGGCACAAAGAGUCACGACCCUUGCCCCAUGCCCCCCCCUUCCACUCCCUCCAAGGAUUAGGAUUAGGACUCGCUCCGCCCUCCUCCUGUCUCUCCCUCGAGCCAGCCAAAUUCGGCCCUCCGCUCGUGGGUGGCCGAAAAAAAAUUCGGUCAUUUCUGUCACCAGUUGACCAGUUACGAGGGACUGAAGGGCGAGGUUGAGAGAGGAGGAACACGAGGAGGGGGCCGAGAAGGGCCGAAGAGGGCGGCAAGGAGUAUGAGUUACGAGACGGUCGGGUGUAUUAACGAGGCUCACGAAUUGCCCAUCCUUUGCUGCGCGUAUAAUGACGAAAGGAGGGAGGUAAGGUGCAACCGAGGACGUUCUCUCUGCAGCUUUUCUCGUUCAAAAGCAACUGACUCUCUCUCUCUCUCGCUGGCACGGCGUAUCUUAGUUGUACUCGGGGUCCCAAGAUUCCACGAUCAAGGUGUGGGAUAUCGAGACCUUCAAGCUCGUGCAGAAGAGGCAAGGUGAGCACCGACACCCUCUCCCUCCCUCCUACACACACACACGCUCUCUCUCUCUCUCUCUCUCUUUGUCCUUUCCUCUCAACUCACAAACUUCUUGUUCUUGUCUCCAGGGCAUAAAGGAUGGGUGACGAGCCUCGCGUUCUCCCCGACGACGAAGCUACUCUACAGCGGCAGCGGUAAGUGGACCAGACCUCCUUCACAUCCCCUCCCCGAGUUCUAUUUAAACACACACACACACACACACACGCACGCACGCACGCACGCACGCACACACACACACUCUUACUGACACGCUUCACCGCUUCGUUGU